rnacentral:rRNA from 1 species
AUUGAACGCUGGCGGCAUGCCUUACACAUGCAAGUCGAACGGCAGCACGGGAGCAAUCCUGGUGGCGAGUGGCGAACGGGUGAGUAGUAUAUCGGAACGUGCCCAGUAGUGGGGGAUAGCCCGGCGAAAGCCGGAUUAAUACCGCAUACGACCUGAGGGUGAAAGCGGGGGAUCGCAAGACCUCGCGCUAUUGGAGCGGCCGAUAUCAGAUUAGCUAGUUGGUGGGGUAAAGGCCUACCAAGGCUACGAUCUGUAGUUGGUCUGAGAGGACGACCAGCCACACUGGGACUGAGACACGGCCCAGACUCCUACGGGAGGCAGCAGUGGGGAAUUUUGGACAAUGGGCGCAAGCCUGAUCCAGCAAUGCCGCGUGCAGGAAGAAGGCCUCGGGUUGUAACGUAGCUUUGUUC